GAGUCAUCUUUUUGCUCUUCACUGGGCUUUUCUGCCACAAUUACAUCGGCAAUUGGCUUUCUUUAUGGAUGCUUGGAACCUUCAUGGCUUGAGAACAGAGAGUAGCCGGUCUCCCUAUCAACUUUGGGCAUCAUCCAGACACCAUGAAGAUCCGGAUCAGCCCUUUUUAUGUGUUCGGGUGGAGGCAGACUAUGGCAUUGAUUGGGAAGGACCAUAUGGCUUUGAUGACCUUGGACAUCAAGCUGUACAAGUUGAAGUACCACAAGUGCAACUGCAGCGAAACCUCACAGAGGAGGACAUCGCUAGAUUGCCCGACCCCAAUGUUCCCUCAUGGAUGCAGUCGACAUUUAUAUGGCCACAUUACAACAGUUAAUGCAGCAACAAUCAGAAGUGGAUGAGGGAGGGUCUGACGCAUGAAUAUUUAUUGCCUCCUCCUCAAGAGAAUGUUCUUUCAUAUUUUCGGUCAAAAACUCAACAUUAGCAAUUAUUUUUUUAUAUUUGUUUUAUUUUAAAGGCUUGCAUAGACUCUCACAUAUAAAACUCAAUGUGAUAUGCAUAAAAAAUCUGAAGUACAAGUUUCUUCAUUUUGUUUAAACUCAGAAAAUGUAACAUUUAAUAAAACAUUGAAAUUAUUA